rnacentral:rRNA from 1 species
GACGAACGCUGGCGGCGUGCUUAACACAUGCAAGUCGAACGGAAAGGCCCUGCUUGCAGGGUACUCGAGUGGCGAACGGGUGAGUAACACGUGGGUGAUCUGCCCUGCACUUCGGGAUAAGCCUGGGAAACUGGGUCUAAUACCGGAUAGGAGCCAUUUUUAGUGUGAUGGUUGGAAAGUUUUUUCGGUGUAGGAUGAGCUCGCGGCCUAUCAGCUUGUUGGUGGGGUAAUGGCCUACCAAGGCGGCGACGGGUAGCCGGCCUGAGAGGGUGGACGGCCACAUUGGGACUGAGAUACGGCCCAAACUCCUACGGGAGGCAGCAGUGGGGAAUAUUGCACAAUGGGCGCAAGCCUGAUGCAGCGACGCCGCGUGGGGGAUGACGGCCUUCGGGUUGUAAACUCCUUUCGCUAGGGACGAAGCUUUUUGUGACGGUACCUAGAUAAGAAGCACCGGCUAACUACGUG